GACGAACGCUGGCGGCGUGCUUAACACAUGCAAGUCGAACGGUGAAGGGGCCUGCUUUUGUGGGCCCUGGAUGAGUGGCGCACGGGUGAGUAACACGUGAGUAACCUGCCCCCUUCUUCUGGAUAACCGCAUGAAAGUGUGGCUAAUACGGGAUAUUCUGGGUCUGUCGCAUGAUGGGUCUGGGAAAGAUUGCGCCUUUGGGUGUUUUUGGUGGGGGAUGGGCUCGCGGCCUAUCAGCUUGUUGGUGGGGUGAUGGCCUACCAAGGCGGUGACGGGUAGCCGGCCGGAGGGGGUGGACGGUCACACUGGGACUGAGACACGGCCCAGACUCCUACGGGAGGCAGCAGUGGGGAAUAUUGCGCGAUGGGCGCAAGCCUGAUGCAGCGACGCCGCGUGAGGGAUGGAGGCCUUCGGGUUGUAAACCUCUUUCGCCAGUGAAGCAGGCCUGCUCCUUGUGGGUGGGUUGACGGUAGCUGGAUAAGAAGCGCCGGCUAACUACGUG
rnacentral:rRNA from 1 species